AGUGAACGCUGGCGGUAGGCCUAACACAUGCAAGUCGAACGGCAGCACAGUAAGAGCUUGCUCUUACGGGUGGCGAGUGGCGGACGGGUGAGGAAUACAUCGGAAUCUACUUUUUCGUGGGGGAUAACGUAGGGAAACUUACGCUAAUACCGCAUACGACCUACGGGUGAAAGCAUGGGAUCUUCGGACCUUGCGCGAUUGAAUGAGCCGAUGUCGGAUUAGCUAGUUGGCGGGGUAAAGGCCCACCAAGGCGACGAUCCGUAGCUGGUCUGAGAGGAUGAUCAGCCACACUGGAACGGAGACAGGGUCCAGAGUCCUACGGGAGGGAGCAGUGGGGAAUAUUGGACAAUGGGCGCAAGCAUGAUCCAGCCAUACCGAGUGGGUGAAGAAGGCGUUCGGGUUGUAAAGCCGUUUUGUUGGGAAAGAAAAGCAGCAGGUUAAUACGACGCUGUUCUGACGGUACCCAAAGAAUAAGCACCGGCUAACUUCGUG
rnacentral:rRNA from 1 species